CCUCAUACCUUUGGCAUGGGUACGUUUUCAUAGCGUAACAUGAAUGCAAGUAUGAGGUACAUAAAUACAGCUAUAUGCCUUCGGUGUUCACACAUUUUUUUGUCUGAAUCCCAUCCUCAGAUGUUGUAACAAUA